rnacentral:rRNA from 1 species
AGAAUCAACGCUGGCGGCGUGCCUAACACAUGCAAGUCGAACGAGAAAGUGGAGCAAUUCACGAGUAAAGUGGCGCACGGGUGAGUAACACGUGACUAACCUACCCUUGAGUGGGGAAUAACCUAGGGAAACCUGGGCUAAUACCGCAUAAUACCCACGGGUCAAAGGAGCAAUUCGCUCGAGGAGGGGGUCGCGGCCGAUUAGUUAGUUGGCGGGGUAAUGGCCCACCAAGACGAUGAUCGGUAUCCGGCCUGAGAGGGCGCACGGACACACUGGAACUGAAACACGGUCCAGACUCCUACGGGAGGCAGC